rnacentral:lncRNA from 1 species
AGCUAUCAUCAAAAGUCACAUAAUAAGUUUCUUCUAUCUUCCUUGAACGCUUGUUUAAUACUCGAUAGGCUUUCGAAGUGAGAGAAUAUCCCAGGAAAAUCCCUUCAUCGGCUUUGACGUCGAACUUGUUACGAUGUUCUUUAGAGUUGAAGAUGAAACACCGUGAGCCGAAUACGUGGAAGAAUUUGACAUUUGGCUUCCUGUUGUUGAUGAUCUCAUAAGGAGUGAGAUUAAAGCGUUUAUUGAGAUAGGACCUGUUCUGCGUAAAACAUGCUGCAGCAAUAGCAUCAGCCCAAAAGUAUAAAGGUAAAGAAGCAAAACUUAGCAUGGUUCGGGCCGNAUUAAAGUGUUUAUUGAGAUAGGACCUGUUCUGCGUAAAACAUGCUGCAGCAAUAGCAUCAGCCCAAAAGUAUAAAGGUAAAGAAGCAAAACUUAGCAUGGUUCGGGCCGCCUCACACAAAGAUCGGUUUCGUCUUUCGACAAUCCCGUUUUGUUGAGGGGUGUAGGGAGCUGAGAAGUUGUGACUGGUUCCUUUUUCUGCCAAGAAGUCUUUGAAUUCUUUAUUUUUGAACUCCAGCCCAUUGUCGCUCCUGAUGUUGCGAACGACUUUCCUCAGCUGCACUUCAACCUGCUUGAUAAACAUCUUUAGCUUGAGAGUUGCUUCA